rnacentral:rRNA from 1 species
CUGAGGGAUAGCCUUUCGAAAGAAAGAUUAGUACCUGAUAGUAUGGUGAGAUUGCAUGAUAGCACCAUUAAAGAUUUAUUGGUAAACGAUGGGGAUGCGUUCCAUUAGGUAGUAGGCGGGGUAACGGCCCACCUAGCCGACGAUGGAUAGGGGUUCUGAGAGGAAGGUCCCCCACAUUGGAACUGAGACACGGUCCAAACUCCUACGGGAGGCAGCAGUGAGGAAUAUUGGUCAAUGGGCGAGAGCCUGAACCAGCCAAGUAGCGUGAAGGAUGAAGGUCCUACGGAUUGUAAACUUCUUUUAUACGGGAAUAAAGUAUCCUACGUGUAGGAUUUUGUAUGUACCGUAUGAAUAAGCAUCGGCUAACUCCGUGCCAGCAGCCGCGGUAAUACGGAGGAUGCGAGCGUUAUCCGGAUUUAUUGGGUUUAAAGGGAGCGCAGACGGGAGAUUAAGUCAGUUGUGAAAGUUUGCGGCUCA